rnacentral:rRNA from 1 species
UACGUAGGGCGCAAGCGUUGUCCGGAAUUAUUGGGCGUAAAGAGCUCGUAGGUGGUGUGUCGCGUCUGCCGUGAAAGCCCGGGGCUUAACCCCGGGUCUGCAGUGGAUACGGGCAGGCUAGAGGUAGGUAGGGGAGAAUGGAAUUCCCGGUGUAGCGGUGAAAUGCGCAGAUAUCGGGAGGAACACCGGUGGCGAAGGCGGUUCUCUGGGCCUUACCUGACGCUGAGGAGCGAAAGCGUGGGGAGCGAACAGG